UUAUAUGGAGAGUUUGAUCCUGGCUCAGGACGAACGCUGGCGGCGUGCCUAAUACAUGCAAGUCGAGCGGACAGAUGGGAGCUUGCUCCCUGAAGUCAGCGGCGGACGGGUGAGUAACACGUGGGCAACCUGCCUGUAAGACUGGGAUAACUCCGGGAAACCGGGGCUAAUACC
rnacentral:rRNA from 1 species